GACCCAUGGUGAGGGCACCUUUUCAGUAAGUCCUUGUAUCUCUCUCAUGCAUCGUAGAGUGGUUCUAAAUCCAUAUGCACAAAAAAAGAGAUAUCAUUACAUAAUUU
rnacentral:snoRNA from 1 species